rnacentral:rRNA from 1 species
GCGGUAAUUCCAGCUCCAAUAGCGUAUAUUAACGUUGUUGCAGUUAAAAAGCUCGUAGUUGAAGUGUGGGUGAUCGCUAUUGUGAGACUUCGGUCUCUCGACAGUAAGUCACCCCCUUCCAGUAUCCAGUAGUGGGUAUUCAGUUACUUACUAUUGUGUGUUGGUCGUUUACUGUGAGAAAAUUAGAGUGUUCAAAGCAGGCGUUUGCUUGAAUAGAUUAGCAUGGAAUAAUAAUUGAAGGCUUUCGUGUUCGAUUUGAUUGGUUUGUUCAUGGAAGCAAGGUUAAAAGGAACAGUUGGGGGUAUUCAUAUUCACUAGUUAGAGGUGAAAUUCUCGGAUUUAUGGAAGAUGAACAAGUGCGAAAGCAUUUACCAAGGAUGUUGUCAUUAAUCAAGAACGAAAG